rnacentral:rRNA from 1 species
UACGGGGGGGGCAAGCGUUGUUCGGAAUUACUGGGCGUAAAGCGCACGCAGGCGGCUCGAUAAAUUAGAAGUGAAAGCCCCGGGCUUAACCUGGGAAUUGCUUUUAAGACUGUCGGGCUAGAAUCCAGAAGAGGGUAGUGGAAUUCCGAGUGUAGAGGUGAAAUUCGUAGAUAUUCGGAAGAACACCAGUGGCGAAGGCGACUACCUGGUCUGGCAUUGACGCUCAUGUGCGAAAGCGUGGGGAGCAAACAGG